rnacentral:tRNA from 1 species
AAGUAUUGAUUCUAAAAGUCGACUUUUAGGACUCCGAAGGCAGAGGUCGUGGGUUCGAAUCCCGCCUUGUGCACCA